GAUGAACGCUGGCGGCGUGCUUAACACAUGCAAGUCGAGCGAAGCGAUUUUAAGGAAGCCUUCGGGUGGAAUUAAAAUUGACUUAGCGGCGGACGGGUGAGUAACGCGUGGGUAACCUGCCUCAUACAGGGGGAUAACAGUUAGAAAUGACUGCUAAUACCGCAUAAGCGCACAGUGCUGCAUAGCACAGUGUGAAAAACUCCGGUGGUAUGAGAUGGACCCGCGUCUGAUUAGGUAGUUGGUGAGGUAACGGCCCACCAAGCCGACGAUCAGUAGCCGACCUGAGAGGGUGACCGGCCACAUUGGGACUGAGACACGGCCCAAGCUCCUACGGGAGGCAGCAGUGGGGAAUAUUGGACAAUGGGGGAAACCCUGAUCCAGCGACGCCGCGUGACUGAAGAAGUAUUUCGGUAUGUAAAGGUCUAUCAGCAGGGAGGAAAAUGACGGUACCUGACUAAGAAGCCCCGGCUAACUACGUGCCAGCCGCCGCGGUAA
rnacentral:rRNA from 1 species